UCCCAGGCCCUUCCUGUUCCAGCCCUGGGGCCUACAGAGAAGAGAACGCGCCAGGCUAGAAGCCAGGGGCAGAGAGCCAUUCUGGUAACAUCUCCUCCCUCAGAAGCCACCCUCUUCCCCAAAUCCCAGCCGAGCAGUGACAGGAAGGCAGGAGAUGACUGUGAGGCAUAUUUCAUCAAUGGCGUUGAAAGUGAGCAACACAGCCUUGCGGCAGGGUGCUCCCCACGGCCACCUGUGUCCAUGGCCAGCAGUCAGUGAUCGAGUUGGGGCAGCUCUUGCCUUUCUGCAGUCCUGGUGUGAGGAGACCCCAGCAACGUGGCAGAUGCCCACAACUAGUGUUUGCAUAACUUGCGAUCUUACGAAAGGCUGGAAAUUGAACCAAUACUACUCUACUAAGAUCUCUAAAAGGGUCCUUACUGCAUACUCAAAUCUGCCAUCAGUGCAGGGAACAGGAAGUGAUUCGACACAGCACACUGCAUCAGUUAUGAUCAGACCGGGAACAUUCUCCCUGAUAAGCAUUUUCUGCCAACCUGGGCUGGUGGCAAUCAGCAGCAGAGGGGACCCGUUCUGCUGGCCUGGCUUCAUGCAGUCUGCAUCCUUGGGGCUCCUUCCUGCUCACAGCACACCCUUAGUCUUAGGGGCAUCCAAAAGCAUCUCCUUGCUGAAUUCCAACCCUUUGGCUCUUCCACUUGGAGUGAAAAUCAAGCUUCAAAAGGGAAAAUGAAAAGAAGUUGACUAUUUGGCAGAGUAAUGGCAACAUACACCUGGUUUUAAAAAUGAAAGUCUACCAUUUGCAUUGUGCUUUAUUUUUGCUUUGUAAAAGGAAUCCUGCAGAUUGGUUUGUUGUGCAUGAAGACAAAGACCCCUGAGAUGGGUACUAACAGCAGGCAAAAUAUUGAAGAAGUAACUGGGGCAUGAAAUUAUGGAGGAAAGAAGCCCUGGGUUUGAAUCCCAGUGUCACCAUGAACCUGUUCUCAGGAUGGCUUUGACGAUAGACUGGAACCCUGGAUACAUAAUCCACUUUAUGGACUGGAAAUCACUUUCUUGUAAAUAGAUUGGUUAAUAUGCUCGUGACUUGUAUUUGUUUUUUAAAUGUCUUUUUAUUUUUUACUUGACACAUACUAAUCGCACACAUUUAUGGAGAAUGGUGAGACAUUUCAACACAUGUUUGCCCUUUGCAAUGAUAAGGUCAGGGUUGUUGGCAUAUUUAUGACCUUAGAUAUUUCUCAUUUCUUUGUGUUAAGAACAUUUAAAAUCCUCUCUACUAGCUGUUGUCAACUAAUUGUUGUCAACCAUUGUUAUCCAACAUUAUGUUAUUCUUUCUAUUCAAUUAUACUCCUGUACCCAUUAACCUUCCUCUUUCCAACCCUCCACUCAACAUCCUUCCCAUGCUCUGAUAACCACUAUUCUAUUCCUUACUUCCUGAGAUCAAUGUUUUAGCUUCCACAUGUAAGUGAGAACAUGCAGUGUUUGUCUUUCUGUGCCAUAUUUAUCUCACUUAACAUUCUCGAGUUCUAUGUCAUUGCAAAUGACAAAAUUUCCCUCAUUCUCAUGUCUAAAUAAUAUUCCAUUGUGUGUCUAUACCACAGUUUCUUUCUCCAGAAUAUGGACAUCUGGGUUGACUCCAUAUCCCGAAUAUGAUAAGCGGUGCUAUA